UACGUAGGCAGCGAGCGUUGUUCGGAGUUACUGGGCGUAAAGAGUGCGUAGGCGGUGUUCCAAGUCUGUUGUGAAAUCUCCCGGCUCAACUGGGAGGUGCGGCGGAAACUGGGACGCUGGAGUACGGGAGAGGUAAGCGGAAUUCCUGGUGUAGCGGUGAAAUGCGUAGAUAUCAGGAGGAACACCGAUGGCGAAGGCAGAUCUCUGGGCCGUAACUGACGCUGAGGAGCGAAAGCGUGGGGAGCGAACAGG
rnacentral:rRNA from 1 species